ACGGGGUUUUAUUUUACUGCUUUAUUGUCCCGGGCCGCGAUGGUGGAGUCCCGGAGCCGCGCUCUUCCUUAAUCUUCUCACUGCGAUAUCUGGGGUUGAAGAAGCUUGUGUUGGGUCUCUCGGGCAGUGUGUGUGAUGUAUAUCAGCAGUGUGUGUGGUGUAUAUCAGCAGUGUGUGUGGUGUAUAUCAGCAGUGUGUGUGAUGUAUAUCGGCAGUGUGUGUGAUGUAUAUCAGCACAGUGUGUGUGAUGUAUAUCAGCAGUGUGUGUGUGAUGUAUAUCCGCAGUGUGUGUGAUGUUUAUGAGCGGUUAAGGGGGCUGGCUGAGGACAGCCUGAUCGCUGGGGAUGAAAGGCCUCGCUUCAGGGCUUUGAAAGCCAGUUACUGUAAAAUGGAGGCCGUGAUCUCUGUAGCGGCUCGAGUCUCGCCAAAGCUCGACGGGCGGCGGGCAGAUGUGGCCCGAAAGACGACGGGUAACGGCGGGAGCCGUUUCGACUCCACGCGGAUGCGCUUAACGUUCAUUGGCCGGACUGAACUCUGGGAUGGCGGGAGACCCAGGCGAAGGCUCUGUUUCCCGCGCGACGCUGGGCUUUCGCGGAGAGGGGCGGGAUCAGCUGCGGCCGUUUAAUUACUACUCCUUUUCGAUUUCUUUGAACGUUUAUUUGAGUAGUCGUUCCUGACGCCGUAGUGCCCCUCCAAGCUUCUGAGACCGUGCGCAAUGCCUC